rnacentral:rRNA from 1 species
UCGUGAGACAGUUCGGUCUCUAUCUGUUGUGGGCGUUUGAGAUUUGAGGGGGCCUGACACUAGUACGAGAGGACCGUGUUGGACGAACCGCUGGUUUAUCGGUUAUGCCGCCAGGCGUAUUGCCGAGUAGCUACGUUCGGUUGAGAUAAGUGCUGAAAGCAUCUAAGUACGAAGCUUGCCUCAAGAUUAGAUCUCAUUAAGGGUGGUUAUAGACGAUGACCUUGAUAGGCUACAGGUGUAAAGGCGGUGACGUCAUAGCCGAGUAGUACUAAUUGCCCGAAAGUUUUUGC